AUUGAACGCUGGCGGCAUGCCUAACACAUGCAAGUCGAGCGGAGCGGCGGAUGGGUGAGUAAUGCCUAGGAAUCUGCCUGGUAGUGGGGGAUAACGUCCGGAAACGGGCGCUACUACCGCAUACUAUCAGAUGAGCCUAGGUCGGAUUAGAUAGUUGGUGGGGUAAAGGCCUACCAAGGCGACGAUCCGUAACUGGUCUGAGAGGAGGAUCAACCAAACUGUAACUGAGAAACGGUCAACACUCCUACGGGAGGCAGCAUUGGGGCAGAUUGCACAAUGGGCUCAAGCCUGAUGCAGCCAUGCCUCUUGUAUGAAGAAGGCCUUCGGGUUGUAAAGUACUUUCAGCGGGGAGGCGUUACCCGCAGAAGAAGCACCGGCUAACUCCGUGCCAGCAGCCGCGGUAAUAC
rnacentral:rRNA from 1 species